UACGUAGGUCCCGAGCGUUGUCCGGAUUUAUUGGGCGUAAAGCGAGCGCAGGUGGUUUAUUAAGUCUGGUGUAAAAGGCAGUGGCUCAGCCAUUGUAUGCAUUGGAAACUGGUAGACUUGAGUGCAGGAGAGGAGAGUGGAAUUCCAUGUGUAGCGGUGAAAUGCGUAGAUAUAUAGAGGAACACCGGUGGCGAAAGCGGCUCUCUGGCCUGUAACUGACACUGAGGCUCGAAAGCGUGGGGAGCAAACAGG
rnacentral:rRNA from 1 species